rnacentral:rRNA from 1 species
GACGAACGCUGGCGGCGUGCUUAACACAUGCAAGUCGAACGGAAAGGCCCUGCUUUUGUGGGGUGCUCGAGUGGCGAACGGGUGAGUAACACGUGAGUAACCUGCCCUUGACUUUUGGAUAACUUCAGGAAACUGGGGCUAAUACCGGAUAGGAGCUCCUGCUGCAUGGUGGGGGUUGGAAAGUUUCGGCGGUUGGGUAUGGACUCGCGGCUUAUCAGCUUGUUGGUGGGGUAGUGGCUUACCAAGGCUUUGACGGGUAGCCGGCCUGAGAGGGUGACCGGCCACAUUGGGACUGAGAUACGGCCCAGACUCCUACGGGAGGCAGCAGUGGGGAAUAUUGCACAAUGGGCGGAAGCCUGAUGCAGCAACGCCGCGUGCGGGAUGACGGCCUUCGGGUUGUAAACCGCUUUCGCCUGUGACGAAGCGUGAGUGACGGUAAUGGGUAAAGAAGCACCGGCUAACUACGUG